rnacentral:rRNA from 1 species
UUUUCCGAUACUCUGAGGUGCGAAGUGGUUCUGACCUUUUGGUACAGAGAAGUCAUUGAUGCCCGGCUUCCAGGAAAAGCUGCUAGCCAUAACUUAUAGAGAACCGUACCGCAAACCGACACAGGUGGACAGGUAGAGAAUACUAAGGCGCUUGAGAGAACUCGGGUGAAGGAACUAGGCAAAAUGGUACCGUAACUUCGGGAGAAGGUACGCCCUUUCUGGUGAUGGGAUUUACUUUCAGAGCUGGAGAGGGCCGCAGAGACCAGGUGGCUGCGACUGUUUAUUAAAAACACAGCACUCUGCAAAUUCGUAAGAAGACGUAUAGGGUGUGACGCCUGCCCGGUGCCGGAAGGUUAAUUGAUGGGGUUAUCUUCGGAGAAGCUCUUGAUCGAAGCCCCGGUAAACGGCGGCCGUAACUAUAACGGUCCUAAGGUAGCGAAAUUCCUUGUCGGGUAAGUUCCGACCUGCACGAAUGGCGUAACGAUGGCCACACUGUCUCCACCCGAGACUCAGUGAAAUUGAAAUCGCUGUGAAGAUGCAGUGUACCCGCGGCUAGACGGAAAGACCCCGUGAACCUUUACUAUAGUUUUGCACUGGACUUUGAUGAUGACUGUGUAGGAUAGGUGGGAGGCUGUGAAGUGAGGACGCUAGUUCUCAUGGAGCCGCCCUUGAAAUACCACCCUGUUGUUAUUGAGGUUCUAACUUGGUCCAGUAAUCCUGGAUGAGGACAGUGUAUGAUGGGUAGUUUGACUGGGGCGGUCUCCUCCCAAAGAGUAACGGAGGAGCACAAAGGUACCCUCGGUACGGUCGGACAUCGUACCAAGAGUGUAAAGGCAAAAGGGUGCUUGACUGCGAGAGUGACGGCUCGAGCAGGAACGAAAGUUGGUCUUAGUGAUCCGGUGGUUCUGAAUGGAAGGGCCAUCGCUCAACGGAUAAAAGGUACUCCGGGGAUAACAGGCUGAUACCGCCCAAGAGUUCAUAUCGACGGCGGUGUUUGGCACCUCGAUGUCGGCUCAUCACAUCCUGGGGCUGAAGCAGGUCCCAAGGGUAUGGCUGUUCGCCAUUUAAAGUGGUACGCGAGCUGGGUUUAGAACGUCGUGAGACAGUUCGGUCCCUAUCUGCCGUGGGCGUAGGAAAAUUGAGAGGAGCUGCUCCUAGUACGAGAGGACCGGAGUGGACGAACCUCUGGUGCACCGGUUGUCACGCCAGUGGCAUGGCCGGGUAGCUAAGUUCGGACGGGAUAACCGCUGAAAGCAUCUAAGCGGGAAGCCUCCCUCAAGAUGAGUUUUCCCAUGAAGCCCGUUGAAGACUACGACGUUGAUAGGCAAGGUGUGGAAGCGCAGUAAUGUGUGAAGCUAACUUGUACUAAUUGGCUGAUUGUCUUGACCAUAUAAUCUGAG